UAAGAGAAUAAAAGCAGGCUGCCCCAACCCGCAGUGGCAACCCGCUCGAGUCCCCUUCCACACUGUGGAAGCUUUGUUCUUUCGCUGUUUGCAGUAAAUCUUGCUACUGCUCACUCUUUGGGACCACACUGCUUUUAUGAGCUGUAACACUCACCGCGAAGGUCUGCAGCUUCACUCCUGAAGCCAGCGAGAUCACGAGCCCAUUGGGAGGAACGAACAACUCCAGACGCGCUGCCUUAAGAGCUGUAACGCUCAUUGCGAAGGUCUGCAGCCUCACUCCUUAGCCAGCGAGACCACGAACCCACCAGAAGAAACUCCGAACACAUUGGAACAUCGGAAGGAACAAACUCCAGACGCGCCACCUUAAGAGCUGUAACACUCACCGCCAGGGUCCGUGGCUUCAUUCUCUAAGUCAGUUUUUGAGGAAUCACCACAGUGUCUUCCACAAUGGCUGACUGGCAGGGAUGAAUCUCUUAAGUGGAAAUAUUUAUAGCAAAGAAAAAAAUAAAGAAAUACAUACCUGUACUCUAAGAGGAAUUUAUUGGUGAGAAAAAACGGUAAGAUAGUUACAAAAAAAAUCUAUAUGGAAAUCACAAAAAGAAGACAAUAAAAAGAAAAAUGCAGCCUGCCAUAUUGCUGAAGGUUUGUGAGACACAGCCUAGAAGUUUGUUAUCAAUCCUCAUUGGUUGAGGCUCCUCCUGCUGUAGUUGAAGACUGUCUACUGCUAAAAGGAGAGAAUAUACUAGAAAGAAAUAAAAUUACUUGAUGUAUUUAAUUUUUUCUGUUACUUCCUGUCCAUUUGUUACUUCCUGUCCCUUUGUCACCGGAAGACAUUCUGUAUU
rnacentral:lncRNA from 10 species